ensembl:lncRNA
UUUAAGUGUGUAUUUAUGUCUUGUAUUGCUGGUAAGUAACUUUCUUGCACUGAGGUCUGUUUGUUGCAAAUAUCUUUGAUCUGUUUUUUUGUCUUAUAAUGUUUAUGUGUGUAUUUAUGUCUUGUAAUGUUUAUGUGUGUAUUUAUGUCUUAUAAUGUUUAUGUGUGUAUUUAUGUCUUGUAAUGUUUAUGUGUUUAAUUAUGUCUUGUAUUGCUGGUGAGUAACUUCCUUACACUGAGGUCUGGUUAUUGCAAAUAUCUUUGACUUGUUUUUAUGUCUUAUAAUGUUUAUGUGUGUAUUUAUGUCUUGUAUUGCUGGUAAGUAACUUUCUUGCACUGAGGUCUGUUUAUUGCAAAUAUCUUUGACUUGUUUUUAUGUCUUAUAAUGUUUAUGUGUGUAUUUAUGUCUUGUAUUGCUGGUAAGUAACUUUCUUGCACUGAGGUCUGUUUAUUGCAAAUAUCUUUGACUUGUUUUUAUGUCUUAUAAUGUUUAUGUGUGUAUUUAUGUCUUAUAAUGUUUAUGUGUGUAUUUAUGUCUUAUAAUGUUUAUGUGUGUAUUUAUGUCUUGUAUUGCUGGUAAGUAACUUUCUUGCACUGAGGUCUGUUUAUUGCAAAUAUCUUUGACUUGUUUUUAUGUCUUAUAAUGUUUAUAUGUGUAUUUAUGUCUUAUAUUGCUGGUAAGUAACUUUCUUGCACUGAGGUCUGUUCAUUGCAAAUAUCUUUGACCUGUUUUUAUGUCUUAUAAUGUUUAUAUGUGUAUUUAUGUCUUAUAUUGCUGGUAAGUAACUUUCUUGCACUGAGGUCUGUUUAUUGCAAAUAUCUUUGACUUGUUUUUAUGUCUUAUAAUGUUUAUGUGUGUAUUUAUGUCUUGUAUUGCUGGUAAGUAACUUUCUUGCACUGAGGUCUGAUUAUUGCAAAUAUCUUUGACUUGUUUUUAUGUCUUAUAAUGUUUAUGUGUGUAUUUAUGUCUUGUAUUGCUGGUAAGUAACUUUCUUGCACUGAGGUCUGAUUAUUGCAAAUAUCUUUGACUUGUUUUUAUGUCUUAUAAUGUUUAUGUGUGUAUUUAUGUCUUGUAUUGCUGGUAAGUAACUUUCUUACACUGAGGUCUGUUUAUUGCAAAUAUCUUUGAUCUGUUUUUUUGUCUUGUAAUGUUUAUGUGUGUAUUUAUGUCUUGUAUUGCUGGUAAGUAACUUUCUUGCACUGAGGUCUGUUUAUUGCAAAUAUCUUUGACUUGUUUUUAUGUCUUAUAAUGUUUAUGUGUGUAUGUAUGUCUUAUAAUGUUUAUGUGUGUAUUUAUGUCUUGUAUUGCUGGUAAGUAACUUUCUUGCACUGAGGUCUGAUUAUUGCAAAUAUCUUUGACUUGUUUUUAUGUCUUAUAAUGUUUAUGUGUGUAUUUAUGUCUUGUAUUGCUGGUAAGUAACUUUCUUGCACUGAGGUCUGUUUAUUGCAAAUAUCUUUGACCUGUUUUUAUGUCUUAUAAUGUUUAUGUGUGUAUUUAUGUCUUGUAUUGCUGGUAAGUAACUUUCUUGCACUGAGGUCUGAUUAUUGCAAAUAUCUUUGACUUGUUUUUAUGUCUUAUAAUGUUUAUGUGUGUAUUUAUGUCUUGUAUUUCUGGUAAGUAACUUUCUUGCACUGAGGUCUGAUUAUUGCAAAUAUCUUUGACUUGUUUUUAUGUCUUAUAAUGUUUAUGUGUGUAUUUAUGUCUUAUAUUGCUGUUAAAUGUGUAUUUAUGUCUUGUAUUGCUGGUAAGUAACUUUCUUGCACUGAGGUCUGUUUGUUGCAAAUAUCUUUGACUUGUUUUUAUGUCUUAUAAUGUUUAUGUGUGUAUUUAUGUCUUAUAUUGCUGUUAAAUGUGUAAUUAUGUCUUGUGUUGCUGGUAAGUAACUUUCUUGCACUGAGGUCUGUUUGUUGCAAAUAUCUUUGAUCUGUUUUUUUUUCUUAUAAUGUUUAUAUUUGUAUUUAUGUCUUAUAAUGUUUAUGUGUGUAUUUAUGUCUUAUAAUGUUUAUGUGU